rnacentral:snRNA from 1 species
GGAAGGGAAGACAAUCUGGCUGUGACAUCUGUCACACUGUUGAUCACCAGGCUUGAUUCAGAUGGUCUGGCUGGCUAGGAGGGUGUCCCCUUCCUCCCUCACUGCUCCAUAUGCAUCCUCCCAAAGCUGCACUCGGUUGAAGAGGACGACCUUCCCGGAAUAGAGGAGGACUGGUUUUUAGUCAACAAUAUAUACGUAGCCGUACUCCCCUGCUAGAACCUCCAACAAGCUCUCAAUCACACUGAGAAUACAAAAUGACUCCUGAAAAAUAAAGUCUGGCCUGGUGGUGGUGGCGGCGCCCGCCUUUAAUC